AACUCCUCUAAGCCCAGAAGUCGAGAGGGGCUUUGCAGCAUCGCUGCCAAGGUUCGUCUUUGAGGGGUGGGGACUUUGAUGGCGAGGCUGUCUCUCCUUUCCAGCCGCUUUUCCUAAGGCUAGUCUGCAGCUUGACAGGAGCCCUUCAAAUUAAGCCAACAGCUUUUUCUCCCGAGCUGAGGUUUUUCCUCUGAACUCUGGAGUUCUGCUCCCUUCCAUUGGGCUCCAAGGACCUGUGAGGUUUCUCUGUCUGUCCCCUUUCUCACAAGGAAUCUGAUUUCCAAAGUCCUCAGCUACUCUGAUAAAUAACUGACACCAAUAAGUGCUCGGAACCUUAAGACCAUUUCUUAAUUGCAUUUCAAGUGGAUCUGAGCUGUAGGGAUGCCAAUUAAAAUAAACAGAGGACCCCUGAGUUGAGCCCUGUGAGUGUAUGUAUGUGUGUGUGUUUGGGGGUGAGCGAGAGGGGAACUCAGUUUGAAAAUAUUUGAGGGCCCACCAUAGGCAGCUUUAUUUCACUAGUGGCCAUGAUAGAGUGAUGGAGAUAGCUCCCAUGCUGGGUUAACACACCCUGUCCUCAAGAAUCUCCCAAUUGGCAGGCAGAGAUGGUCUGCUUGGCACUUGCUACAGACCACCACUGCGAGGACAAAUUCUACUUAAGACGUAAUUGCUGUUACCAGCCUACAAGUGGGUGGGGUUGAAAGUCCAGAAGCCUUCAGAGAACAAGUGGCUCUGGGGUUGAGCCAAUAAAGGGUCAAAGCCAUCUAAAGCAGAUGCUUUUGAGGUGAAGCCACCAAAGCUGACUGGCACCCAGAGAGAAGGCUGACCAAGGGCUGGUCUGAGGCGGGCAAUGGGGAUCCUGAUGAGCAGAAUAAGAGCUUAGCAGCAUGAUCCCAGUUGAUUGCCCAUAGCCCUAGGUGACUGCCUCCAGGUUGCCUUCCUGGAAGCAACCACUGUGGCUCCUGCAGUGAUACAUGUUCUGUUAGGCAUCUGGCUGAGCCGUACCUUGAGUAAUGUCACAGUGGGAGACCCUGCCCCAUUAUCCUUUUGCUGGCAAGGAUGCUUUGAAGCCUCUCAUGUAUAUUUUAGAUCUGGGCAGGCAAGACUUUUUGGCCUGUGUAAGACAGUUCCAUCAGUGCCCCAUCUUUCCCUACUAAGUUACUUGAGUCAGUUGCAACCGGAGAGAACUUAGGUGUGCACAGAGAAGGGCUGAGGGCAUAGGAGCAAAUAAUUCCAGCUCUAGAAUUCUUUUUAGAAUUUUACCUGCACUAAAAGCUGUGAGACCUUUGCCAAGCCGCCUAACUCCUUUGUACCUCAGUUUUCUCAUGUGUAAAAUGGGGCCGGUAAUACUAGUUCUUGGCUUGCAGAGCUUGAAGCAGGUGACAUAAAUCCAUGCAAAGCACUUAGCACAGGGUGCUAAAGUCUGGAGUAACAAGCUCAGUAAAUAUUAGCUCUUCUUAAUUUGUGCAGACCAGAAAGAGAGGAGAUACAGAAUGAAACUUGAUGGCAAGAGAGGAAGGCCGUGGAAAUAAACACUUAUCUUGUUCUCUUUGUCUUUCCUGGAAGGAGAGGCCUCUUGAUAGCAAACACCUUCUGCUGUUUUCUGAGCUGACUCAGAAGUUCUCAUAUCCUGUGGGAAAGGCAACCAAGGAUAGUAAUAUUGGGUGUUGGUGAAGCUUCCAUCCACCAUAGUGCCACUGACCCUUGCCCCUCAGAGUCAUCAUGCCUCAAAGGCCCCUAAUGCCACAGACACCAUUGAUAAUUAGGAGAAAAUGGAUUCAUGAAUGGUUCCAUUUUGGAAAUUCCUUCAUUCGCCUAGAUUUGUAGGCUGUCUUACAAAGUCCUUGUGAAAGUAUGUGAGUUCAGUAUUUUUCUUGGUUUCAGAUGGACCACUUUUCUCCCUGCUGGCUUUCCGGGGUACUUGGCAAUGGGCCAGAGUGCAAUGCCUCUUGUGGAUGUUUGAGUAGGACCAGCAGUUGGGACUGUUCUGCCCCCAACUCUUCCCCAGCAGCAGCUCAAGGGACUCUGGCAAUGUUUGACUCUCAGCAGACACCCACAUAUGUGUCUCUGGUCUGAAAGUACAGGCAGGUUAUAAAACAACAUUUAAAAAUUACAUAUAUCAAUCUAUAUCUACUGAUUUACUUCAACCAUUUGGAGGGCUCAUUUGUGCAGGGACAACUGUGCACCUGAUCUUGGUAAUCUCCUUACCCUGACUAAUUUCAGUGUCACAGGAUGCUAUGCAUACCACCCAUGAGUUCUGGAUUCCUUCCUAUCCCCUUAGAUUUGGUUUCAGGUAGAAGAGGUAGCCCAUGAGUUAUGGGCCAAAGUCACAUAAAAGCCUCCCAUGGACUAGCUCACACACCGCCAGCUCCCCCAACCUCACCUGAGGCUGUGGGCAGAGGCAAGAACAAUUCCAGCUGCCCCAGCUACCCUAGCUACCCUGACCUCGGCAGCCUGGAGGAUCUAAUGCCCCAGCGCCACCAGGGAGCUGCCCAGUUGUUCCGGUGUGGAGAGUUGUUUUCCACUCUCCUUGAAUAAUGGAGAAUAGCUAUUGAAUAAUGAAGAAUAGCCACCCCACUCUCCUUGAAUAACUAUUUCCACUGGUGGAGAGGGGAGACUGAGCGUAAGGAGGCUGUAAAAAUCCACAUAUGGGACUUUUUGGGCGAUGGCUCAGGGCUGGGUAAGCUCUUGAAUUUCCACCUUGGACAUUUUGUGGCCAUUUAUUAGCAACAAAUGAAAUUCAACCACUUCUGGAAAAAAUAAAGUCAUCAUCAAAUUAAAUCCCUAAUGCCUAAAUUCAGCUGCCUUUAGCUGCUGGUCCUUGUGCCCCAACAGAUUUCAGUGCUAGAGGCCCCUCUCCCCUCCCUCCUUUCUGCCAACCUCAGCCUCCCCACCACCACCCGGCAGAAACCUCAGGUACCCCCUUUAUGUUCCAGGGUUGCUACAGAGAUAGACUGCAGGGCCCGGUGCUUCUUCCCUCAUAAGCUUUAGAUAAUUCUUCCUCUCAGUGGAAAAAAUAAAGGGAGAACUCUACUUAGCCAAGCACCUGCAAACCCAGCAUGAAGCGGGAGAUAGAGUCACAUUUAGAGGGUGAACCUGGUAAAACUGGGGUUCCUGAGACCAGAAAGAACAGGAAAGAAUUCUCUGUGUAGGACUCAUCUGGCUCCCAAGAUUUAGCUUUUUGGCCUGAGGCCUGCGGACUAAAGGGCCAAGGGAGUGCACAUGAAAGCAAGACAAAGCCCUGCUGCUCCCACUUGGCCCCACCAUUUCUCACUGUCCUGUCUGUCAGUCCCUGCUGAGGAUCUUGGGGCUUUGGAAAAAAGUCCUAGUCACCGCCAAGAACUGGGUGGCUCUCCGGAGUAGCGAGGGCUGGAAGCUGGAUACUCCUCAUGUUUCAUUUCUUUUGUUGCUUCAGAGACCUUGACCAUUCAGGCAAUCCCUUGCAGAUAAAGGAGAGGAGGCUACCGGACAGCCACAUGGAUUAAGCUUCAAGAAGCCAGGGAGAUCCCGGGAGAGUUAUGGAUUGGGGACAAGAGAUGCAGCAGGAAGGAUGCGUGUUGAUUUCUGCAGACCUUGGGGGCAAUUGAGUGGGGCCAGGAUGUUUCCUCACAUGCCUGUGUGUGACGCUGUGUACCCACGUAUGUGUUGUUUCCACAUUCUUGUUUGAUUCUAGAAAGGUACAUGGAUACAACGCGUGUGGGUGUACGAAGUGUAUGCAUGCUUAUGUGUGCUGCCGGAUAAACAUAUGGCUUUGUGUAGUCACACAUGAUACGUGCAUGACGCUUGUACUUAGCUUCCUAUAAAAAGUAUAUGGUAGUUGCUGAUGUACCCGUAUUUUUUUCGGGGUGCACGUUGGGG
rnacentral:lncRNA from 10 species